rnacentral:pre_miRNA from 9 species
UCUCGAUAGCGUAAACGUUAACUCAUAUUUGUAUGGAGUUGGAACGUUUGUUUACGUUUGCCGCUAGGGGCGCUGUUUUAGAUACAUACAAAUAUGACUUAACUUUUACGCCUACGA